rnacentral:rRNA from 1 species
UGGGGAAUUUUGGACAAUGGGCGAAAGCCUGAUCCAGCAAUGCCGCGUGUGUGAAGAAGGCCUUCGGGUUGUAAAGCACUUUUGUCCGGAAAGAAAUCCUUGGCUCUAAUACAGUCGGGGGAUGACGGUACCGGAAGAAUAAGCACCGGCUAACUACGUGCCAGCAGCCGCGGUAAUACGUAGGGUGCAAGCGUUAAUCGGAAUUACUGGGCGUAAAGCGUGCGUAGGCGGUUUGCUAAGACCGAUGUGAAAUCCCCGGGCUCAACCUGGGAACUGCAUUGGUGACUGGCAGGCUAGAGUAUGGCAGAGGGGGGUAGAAUUCCACGUGUAGCAGUGAAAUGCGUAGAGAUGUGGAGGAAUACCGAUGGCGAAGGCAGCCCCCUGGGCCAAUACUGACGCUCAUGCACGAAAGCGUGGGGAGCAAACAGGAUUAGAUACCCUGGUAGUCCACGCCCUAAACGAUGUCAACUAGUUGUUGGGGAUUCAUUUCCUUAGUAACGUAGCUAACGCGUGAAGUUGACCGCCUGGGGAGUACGGUCGCAAGAUUAAAACUUAAGGAAUUGACGGGGUCAUAGCUGUUUCCU